CGGCUGCGCAAGGUGCUCAAGGCUGUUGUUUCUUUCUCCUGGGCUCCUGGCCGGGUUGGCCCCACAGAAAAGAUGCGUUAUGCCACUGUUGAAUUCACCAAAGCUGAAGAAGUGAAAGUUGUUCCUACAAGUUGGAUCUCCGACAACAAGUGUUGGUGGCCAGCUCACGCAAAGCCCGAAAAGCUUACGUCAAUGGUGAAAAAAAUCACACCCGGUGGAAUCAACGUGGAAACAGUUUGACAUUUCUGUAAAAGGGUUAUUGGUGGGAGCCAUGUUUUGGUAUGGUGAUUUUUUAGAACAAAAUGAGAGUAAAAACUUGACCAUUG